rnacentral:misc_RNA from 1 species
CUGCAGUAUCCGAAGUGAAUUCUCUUUAAGGUCAUAUAAUUUAACAAAACAGGUCAAAUUAAGGCAGUUUCCAUUGUGAUGCACCAAAGCAAUGCUACAAAAAGCAGACUGUUACAAAAAACAGAGUUCCAUAAAAGGACUCGAGUUCGUAGUACUCUCAAAAGUAAUGUAGAGCCUUUCUCUCCCCAACUCUGCCAACAACAAAAUCACCAUCUGGUCAUUUCUAUACGGCAAAUUAAUGGCGAUAAAUGACCAUAUGCUGACAAAAGGAGUACAUAUUACAAACUUACUAUGUUUAAAACUGACAACACAUCAUAGCUUGGAAUUUUGGCUCAACAAAUAGCUCUUCAGAACAUCCAUAACUGAUCCAAAAUCUGCUUUCACUUCCACAGGUGGGUUAGAAAACCGACAUUCCAUGUCUUUUAUUUCCUUUGAGUGGUAAUCAAUCUUGGAUUGAGUAAACUUCAAUCCAUGAGCUGUACUCACAACCACAGUCCUAUCAGUUGGUGCAAUGACUCCACUGUUUCUCAGCUUGAACAGCGCAGUCAAUGCCACACCAGUAUGCGGGCAAAUGAACAUCCCAGUGGAGUCUGCCUGAGCCAUAGCAUCCAUCAACUCCUCCUCGGUGGCCUCCUCAACUAUCCCGUUGCAGUUCUGCAGGGCAAAAACAGCUCUGUCUAUAGACACUGGGUCACCAAUCUGUAUAGCAGAUGCAAAUGUUGUGUUCGCCUUCACAGGUUUGAAGUCUUUCCAACCAGAUUUGUAAUGCAAGUAGAGCGGAUUAGCGUUGGCAGCUUGAGCACAAACAAGCCUAGGGAUGCGAUCCACAAGUCCCAACUCUUUGCACAUCUGAAAACCUUUAUAAAAUGCAUAUAUGUUGCCUAAGUUCCCACCAGGAACUAUAACCCACUCCGGAACUUCCCAAUCAAACUGCUGUAAA